UGCUUCUGCAUUUUCUAGUCGCGCCGACCUUUUUUCAUCGGUUUUACUAGGUUUUACUAAAUUUAUUAUUCAAUUAACGCUUUCUUAAACGACGAGACAAUUAAUUUAUUUUCAAGUUAGAAGCCGAAUCAUAGCACAUUUUUGUUUAGGCUAAGGAAGCUUUGCUUCAUCAUAGCAACAAUCUCAGAAUCAUCAAUUAGCAUCCCUCUUGAAGUCUUGAUUAAGGAAAUGCACACAUCCCCUGACUGUGGAAGAAGACGAGAUCCAGAUCACCCCAUGGCUUUCAGGUGAAACGAGCACCUGUCUUGAUGCCAACUUGAAAAUGGUUUUUAUCGACUGAAAAUGUUCAAUAUUCGUGAUCCCGUAAUCGACCAGCUCACCUCCAAUUAGCAUCUAAUCAUUUGAUGUGGCUGCCGUUUUUGAAUCGACAGGCGGUACUAUUGCAGAAGAUUUGGCACCUAACGAAAUCCUCGAAUUUGUUUUGAAAGAUGACGUGGAAUGGACUAAUUAUCUUUUAGUGCUUGAACGAAUAUCUGUUAUUUGACAGCCAUCGAUAAUCCGGGCCGUAGGAAAAGAACUCGUCUGUGCCGAUUUGGAGAAAAACCGCAGUUUAGCUGAGGCUUGGUCUGUUCUCGUUUCUGCUAUUGACAAUCUUCAAUCCAAUACUUGGCCCCUUAUCACUAGCAAAGUGUACAUGUCAUUACAUUUCGGACGUGUCGAAGAAGCUGAUGCAUGCGGAAAUCCCGGGAAAUCCUGACCGGGCUACACGCGUCCAACGUCACGUGUUUGGUUUGCUCAAAGCCAUCAUCGCACGUAUCAAAAAUCCGUUGUUAUGAUAAUGAAAACAUUUGGACAACACCACCAAAAAGUGGACCAACAAAUCUUUUCGAAAAAGUCAGGUAUUACACUUAGCGCCUCUUAAGGUUUUCCUCUGAGGUUGUGACGAUCGGCUCGGUUUGAUGACACUGUCUUCCAGAUCAAAAACUAUUUUCAUUCUUUUUGAAGGUGGUGAC